rnacentral:rRNA from 1 species
CUACCCUUGACAUGUCCGAGAGCCCGCUGAGAGGUGGGUGUGCCUGAAAGGGAAUCGGAACACAGGUGCUGCAUGGCUGUCGUCAGCUCGUGUCGUGAGAUGUUGGGUUAAGUCCCGCAACGAGCGCAACCCUUGUCCCUAGUUGCUACGCAAGGGCACUCUAGGGAGACUGCCGGUGACAAACCGGAGGAAGGUGGGGAUGACGUCAAGUCCUCAUGGCCCUUAUGGGUAGGGCUUCACACGUCAUACAAUGGCCGGUACAGAGGGUUGCCAACCCGCGAGGGGGAGCCAAUCCCGUGAAAACCGAUCGUAGUCCGGAUUGCACUCUGCAACUCGAGUGCAUGAAGCUGGAAUCGCUAGUAAUCGCGGAUCAGCAUGCCGCGGUGAAUACGUUCCC